AACGAACGCUGGCGGCAGGCCUAACACAUGCAAGUCGAACGAUGUAGCAAUACAUAGUGGCGCACGGGUGCGUAACGCGUGGGAAUAUCCCUCUGAGUAAGGAAUAGCUACUGGAAACGGUAAUUAAUACCUUAUAAUGUCUUCGGACCAAAGAUUUAUCGCUCAAGGAUUAGCCGCGUCUGAUUAGCUAGUUGGUGAGGUAACGGCUCACCAAGGCGAUGAUCAGUAGCUGGUCUGAGAGGAUGAUCAGCCACACUGGGACUGAGACACGGCCCAGACUCCUACGGGAGGCAGCAGUGAGGAAUAUUGGACAAUGGAGGCAACUCUGAUCCAGCCAUGCCGCGUGAGUGACGAAGGCCUUCGGGUUGUAAAGCUCUUUUAGUCGUGACGAUGAUGACGGUAGCGACAGAAAAAGCCCCGGCUAAAUUCGUGCCAGCAGCCGCGGUAAUACGAAUGGGGCAAGCGUUGUUCGGAAUCACUGGGCUUAUAGCGUACGCAGGCGGCCAUGCAAGUCAGGAGUGAAAUCCCCGGCGUACCAGGCAGUUGCUUUUGAAACUAUGUGGCUAGAAUCCCGGGAGAGGUUGGCGGAAUUCCGAGUGUAGCAGUGAAACUGCGCAGAUAUUCGGAGGAACACCAGUGGCGAAGGCGGCCAACUGGACCGGCAUUGACGCUCAUGUACGAAAGCGUGGGUAGCAAACAGGAUUAGAUACCCU
rnacentral:rRNA from 1 species